GAACUAUUAGUCCCUGAGAAGUCAAUUUGAAGGUGAACCAGAAAUAGGCAUUGGACAGAUCAUUAACAUUCUGAUCGGUGUUCAUCAAGUCAAACUCAAAAAUCCCAGGCACCUGGAGAUACCCAAUUUGUAUCCUUUGAUAUCACCAGUGUUGAGAAUUUACUCUGAGCAGAAACCACAUAUGCUACGUUUUAGAGGACAUAAGACAGGGAUCUGCUGUUAGAGGAGAAUUCUUCUGUCCUAGCUGUGUCUCUGUGAUCUGUGGAUGAGGGUGGGAAAGCACCACUCAGUCAAUUGGGGUGUACAAAAUGGAGUUUGAGAAGGUCUCACAUCCAGGUUGUUUUGAAGCAAAGUCCAAGCAUUGUAUCACUUCAUCUGCAAAUAUUUCAAUAAGUACCCAAAAGGUCCAGAUUGACUGCAAGAACAAAUCAGCAAUCCUGAGAGGACCCACAGGCCCUCUGAAGGAAGCAGACUACUCCUGCAGGACCUGGGAGAUACCCUGAAUACUUGGUUGGACUGAGUCCCAUGAAGCCAGAUCACUUCUGACUGCAAGGAGCUUGGAAAAGCAAGUAUCUGGAUCUUUUACCAGCUAAAUUUGGAGGCCUGUCUGAAGAUUUUUGGUCCCCAUGUUUUAUGAAGUGAUAAAGAUUUUGAGCUUUUCAAAGACAAAGCUGAAUUAUUGAUCAAAUUUGGAUCUCUGUGUGCUGUCCUCCAAUUUAAUACUUUCUGUGUUGCUGUUUUAUUUUCUUUCUUCUGGAACCUGGCAAAGUGCGUCAAGCGAUGAGGCUUCCUCUUUGAAGAUCACAGGUGAGAAGAUUAGGUGCUUUCUCAGAAGCCCAGCAACCUGAUGGGAGUGUGGAGUGAGCAAGACCCAAAUCGGAGCUUCAUCCCUGCAUGGUUCAUUUUGCUUAUUUGGCAAACUUGCCCUGCAGAUUGAGAAAUUAAGGUCGCAUCAUAUAAGUGAAGUUGAACACUACUUUUCUAAUACCCUACAUCAGGUACGUUCCUAAAUAAACUGGAACUUACCUCAGAAGCCUCAGAAAAUUAGGAAAAUAAAAUGCAUUACUUUGUAUAUUAAGAAGCUCAAAAUCCCAUAUUUGAUUCACUAUAGAAUUACUUCAGAAUCUCAUAUGUUGUUUAAGCAAAACCUGUCUCAUAUUAAAACAUACCUACUGCUGUGUUGUCUAUUUGCUUUUCUCUUUUUAAAUGCCCUUUUGAGAAAUGCUGCAAAAAUUUUGUCCUGACAUGUGGGGGCCCAACUGUUUCCUGCUAUACUCAGCUUGGAGGACAUAGCCUCUAGGUUAUACUCUUUUGAAAUUGUCCUGUUGAAAUGCAUGUUUUGAUUUUGGGAUUUUCCAGAUGCUUCCUAAGUAGGUCCCAUGUGUUAAAACUUGUGGAAAUUCAGCAUGUUUCUCAAUGUGAGGCAUCUAAGUAGUUCACAAAUUUAAGGCAAUUAGUCUAUUACUGGGAUAAGACGAUUAAUUCUAUUAUAUUCCAUUGUUUACAUAUUACUUGUUUAAUCCAUUUCCUAUUCUAUGCUUUGUUUUUUCAUUUGUCUGAAUUAUUAAAAGUCACUACAU
ensembl:lncRNA LINC01091 long intergenic non-protein coding RNA 1091